GGAUCAGCAGGUUGGUCGUGCCUACGGUAUGAACUGGCCUUGCUGAUUCCUCCCUCUUGAUGAGCCGUAAUGCCAUUAAUUUGGUGUUGCGGGGAAUCAGGACUGUUACUUUGAAAAAAUUAGAGUGUUCAAAGCAGGCUUACGUCUGAAUACAUUAGCAUGGAAUAAUAAAAUAGGACU
rnacentral:rRNA from 1 species